GGACCAUGGUUCAGUGGUAGUAUAUCUGCUUUGCAUGCAGGAAGUUCCGGGUUCAAUCCUCAGCAUCUCCA